rnacentral:rRNA from 1 species
AGUGAACGCUGGCGGUAGGCCUAACACAUGCAAGUCGAACGGCAGCACAGUAAGAGCUUGCUCUUACGGGUGGCGAGUGGCGGACGGGUGAGGAAUACAUCGGAAUCUACAUUUUCGUGGGGGAUAACGUAGGGAAACUUACGCUAAUACCGCAUACGACCUACGGGUGAAAGCAGGGGAUCUUCGGACCUUGCGCGAUUGAAUGAGCCGAUGUCGGAUUAGCUAGUUGGCGGGGUAAAGGCCCACCAAGGCGACGAUCCGUAGCUGGUCUGAGAGGAUGAUCCGCCACCCUGGAACUGAGACACGGUCCAGACUCCUACGGGAGGCCGCAGUGGGGAAUAUUGGGCAGUGGGGGCGAGCCUGAUCCAGCCAUACCGCGUGGGUGAAGAAGGCCUUCGGGUUGUAAAGCCCUUUUGUUGGGAAAGAAAAGCAGCAGGUUAAUACCCCGCUGUUCUGACGGUACCCAAAGAAUAAGCACCGGCUAACUUCGUG